rnacentral:rRNA from 1 species
CGAACGGGUGAGUAACACAGUGAGCAAAUCUGCCCUGCACUCUGGGACAAGCCCUGGAAACGGGGUCUAAUACCGGAUAUGACCGUCUUGGGCAUCCUUGACGGUGUAAAGCUCCGGCGGUGCAGGAUGAGCCCGCGGCCUAUCAGCUUGUUGGUGAGGUAGUGGCUCACCAAGGCGACGACGGGUAGCCGGCCUGAGAGGGCGACCGGCCACACUGGGACUGAGACACGGCCCAGACUCCUACGGGAGGCAGCAGUGGGGAAUAUUGCACAAUGGGCGAAAGCCUGAUGCAGCGACGCCGCGUGAGGGAUGACGGCCUUCGGGUUGUAAACCUCUUUCAGCAGGGAAGAAGCGAGAGUGACGGUACCUG